GAUGAACGCUGGCGGCGUGCCUAAUACAUGCAAGUCGAGCGAACAGACGAGGAGCUUGCUCCUCUGACGUUAGCGGCGGACGGGUGAGUAACACGUGGAUAACCUACCUAUAAGACUGGGAUAACUUCGGGAAACCGGAGCUAAUACCGGAUAACAUGUUGAACCGCAUGGUUCAACAGUGAAAGACGGUCUUGCUGUCGCUUAUAGAUGGAUCCGCGCCGCAUUAGCUAGUUGGUAAGGUAACGGCUUAUCAAGGCAACGAUGCGUAGCCGACCUGAGAGGGUGAUCGGCCACACUGGAACUGAGACACGGUCCAGACUCCUACGGGAGGCAGCAGUAGGGAAUCUUCCGCAAUGGGCGAAAGCCUGACGGAGCAACGCCGCGUGAGUGAAGAAGGUCUUCGGAUCGUAAAACUCUGUUAUUAGGGAAGAACAAAUGUGUAAGUAACUAUGCACGUCUUGACGGUACCUAAUCAGAAAGCCACGGCUAACUACGUG
rnacentral:rRNA from 1 species